CUCGCGCUCCUAGGAGAGCGAGGCGCGUCGGAGUCUAACGCAAGGUAGAAGGAGAAUGUAGCCGUCUGAAUGUCUUCUCUUGGCCGGGAAAGAGAGCCAAAGCUUCUCUUCUCCAAUUUCUUCUGCCACACAAUCUCCCCUUUAGAAGUCAGAAAUGGAACAUCAGUUCACCUACAUUUAAAUUAUAUUCUCAAGCAGUAAGAAGGCACCUGGGAGAUGAGAGCAGAGAUUUGGCAUCCUGAGGAAACAAAGAAAGACAGAAAGAAAGACUCCUGAACUUGAAGUCUGAAGAACUGGGUUCUAGGUACACUUGUUCUACCAAAAAUUGGGCAAACAACCUUCUGGUGGCUCAUUUUCCUUCUGUGUAAAGUGAGGGGCUUGGAUAAAGCAAUCUUUUUUAUUAGUUUUAAUUUAUGGAAUAAAAUAAAUGUUAAAAUC